GCCCCCCGCCUCCCGCCCCCCGGCCGCGCAGCCCCUCCGCUCACGCAGCAUCCCCGCGGCGAAGCGGCCGCCCUCCCCCCGCGCGGCGUUCUGCCCCGUUCGCGGAGCACCGUCCCUCUCCGCCUUCGUUCCCCGCACAGGGCGCGCGGCGGCGGCAGCAGAUGCGCAACGGGCGAAGUCGAGAGGGUCUUCCCGAGGGCUGAGCCGCGGUUCGCAGCCUGAAAGCCGGCCGCGAGCGGAAACACGGCCGCGAGGAAGGGACGGCGGGGAUCCGCGGAGCAGCUGUUACGAUUGAUGGGAGGGCCUCCGGUAAAUGACUACAAGUGCAGCUGAAGAAGCACAUGAAGCCACGGUUGGAGCUGCCUGAACGUCCCCAUUCAACCCAACGGGGAGCUCAGAGACACCCACCCAUGUUGUAAGGAUAUUAAUUGCUUGGCGGCGUGUUGGCACAGCGCAGCGCAGGCGAUGGGACACAUAUUGAGCCUGCAAGGGGCUUCCAGGGGAGGCUGUCCUUAAAAAAACACACGUGGCCUCCUCCCUCCCUAAAAAGGGGAGAAAUCGUGUUCUUCUGGCUGAAAUUUCAGCCUACAGGACAGAAGCACACAUCAGGCAACCACAAGGAACUAUCAUUUUAAAAGCCCCCCUACGAGCCGCGUUCGCUGGCAUUCAUUCAGUAUAAUAACCUUCAUUUGGAAACAGCUCCUCUCCAGAGGGGAGGCAGUGGGUUCUAAUUACGGUACAGUUCUCCAUGAGAGCUCAGCACAGACCGUCAGCAUGAGGCCAUUUCCCCUCAUUCCAGGUGGAAGGGGGAUACAGGCAGCAGGAAUGUGUGCUACCUGCACGGCCAGCUCCAAUCCAUCCCCUCUGAAACCACCUUGCACAGAACUCAAUUAUUCUGUUGCUCCAUGGGAGGACAGUAACACCAAGGAGUACGACACACAGGAGAUAGAUAACGGGGUAGAAGGCAGAUAAGAUUGAAAAAAAUCUGUAUUGUUUCCUAGUGAUGUGAUGGGAGGCUCUGAUUACAGCACAGCUAAGGGAAUGGCCAUCACAUCAGCUGAGGGGUUGGGCCCACACACCUGCACUUAAUUGUUUUUUUUUUUGCUCCAGGCAACAGGAAGGGAAGACAACCUUCCAGUUGUCAGUUAGAAGAGAUUAAGCAUUCUUUGUGUCGUAGGUGACGGGUCAAGAACUAACAGCUGCCAUACUUGGUCACAAAUGAGCUAAGAAACCAACAACCCACCCAACUUAUUUAUGAAUCAGUGCUGCAAGUAGGGAUGGUGGGAAUACACUUCCCACGACAUUUGAAGCACAUCGUGGAAAAGCAUUUGCCACUCAUCUCUGGAGAUGUUUGGGGCUAUUUUUUCACUAUUUGCUGCUGACCCUUUGGCUUUGCUGUCAGCAGUCCUCCACUGCUCAGCAAAUCCAUGUCGUUUGCAUGGCUAUGCCAUGGUGUUGCCUCACGUCAUGGUGUGGACUAGAGACCUCCUGGACUGCCUUCUCUCAACCACAUGUCUGUGAUCUCAUGCUGAACUAAAAGGAGGCUAAUCUUAGCAUAAAUUAGCACUUAUCCCAUCUUUCAUAAGCAUAAAAUGAAGGUGGAACACAGAGCGCUUGCAGGAAAGCGGUGCAACAGGGAAGCCUCUGCAAGAUGAGAGAACGAGGAUUAAAUGUAGGAACUGACAGCAGUCUUGGCAGCAUCAGCUGUGGCAAUCUGCUGCAAGGAAAGGCUCCACCAAGGUGGUGCAGGUGGACUUCCAGCCAGGCCUUUGGGGUGGUGCAGCAACAGGGGACGCCCCUCCCGACCCCGUGCAAGUGGCCUUUUUGUGCUCUGUAAAACCUGUCUGCAGCAACUUCUCAGCCAAAUACCAUCGAGAAGAAAACGUGAGGAGGCUGUGAACGUUAUCCCAAGUGUGCUUACGACAAUUUAAAUUAUUCUGUCUUUGCUUCUGUGACAACUAGGUAAUUUUUAUAUAAUUAUUCUCCCCUACUGAAUAACUUGCUCUCUCUAUAUUUAGCGCCUGUGUACUACAGAUGCAUCCUUACACUGGUGCACACCUACACCACAACUCUCCCAGUUCUCACCAAAAUCAGAAUGCUUUCAGAUUCAGUUCGGAUGCAAGCAGAUGGGCCCUGCAAGCCUAUGGAGAAAGGAGAAGCCAAAAAUAUUCAGCUGUGAGCAGGGCAGUCAAACUUAAUAAAGCUAGCAUCUUAAUUCAGAUCUUCUGCAGUCAACUGCAAGUAAACUCAAUCCACUGAAUAAUUCAGGCAGUUUAUUUCCUAUAGAUGACACAUGCCAUCCAGGAAAGGAAACAAGAUAGAACACACACACGGUGGUGCAUUGCAGGCAACUUAUUCCUGCAAUAAUCACUUAGAAUUGUCAAUACUGGGACUGCUGCAUUACUCAGUUAAUCACAGAAAUAAGUUCUACUUCAUCAAUCUCAGCACGUACAUUAAAACCCAAAAAGCAUUUGAAGUUUUUACCCUUUAUUUGUAUUAGUUAAAAAUCUGGCAGCAACUCUAUUUCUGUUACAAAAUGAUUUUUGGCCUGUUGACAAAGCCUACUACAAAUGACUCAAUCACUGUUCAUGUGGCUCUUGUUCACCCAAAAGGCACCUCAGAAAGCAAGGUAUCUCAGUGGCCUAACUGUACUUAUUGC